rnacentral:snRNA from 1 species
GAAUAUGAAGCUGAUCUGGCUGGCCAGGCAGGUGUCCCCUUCCUCCCUCAACAUUCCAUGUGUGUCUUUGCUGAAGGGUAGAAGAGGAAGACUUUCCCUAAAAAAAUGGGAUAGGUCUUCGGUUAAGGGUAUACAAAGCAGCUGUGGUCUCCUGCUAGAACCUCCAAACAAGUUCUCAAGACAAUUAAGUGUGACUGUCAUGAGAACCCCAUAUCCAUACUUGGGUAUGUUCUAUCCUUUCCCAGUGUUU